rnacentral:rRNA from 1 species
GCAAAACGCGAAGAACCUUACCAAGGCUUGACAUGCAUCUCUAAGCGCGUGAAAGCGCGUGACCCUUCGGGGGAUUUGCACAGGUGCUGCAUGGCCGUCGUCAGCUCGUGUCGUGAGAUGUUGGAUUAAGUCCCGCAACGAGCGCAACCCUUGUGACUAGUUGCCAGCACGUUAUGGUGGGAACUCUAGUCAGACUGCCCAGAUCAACUGGGAGGAAGGUGGGGACGACGUCAGGUCAGUAUGGCCCUUACGCCUUGGGCUGCACACGUACUACAAUGCCCAGCACAAUGAGAACCGAGACCGCGAGGUGGAGGAAAUCUAAAAAACUGGGCCCAGUUCGGAUUGGAGGCUGCAACUCGCCUCCAUGAAGUUGGAAUCGCUAGUAAUGGCGCAUCAUCUACGGCGCCGUGAAUACGUUCCCGGGUCUUGUACACACC